GAUGAACGCUAGCUACAGGCUUAACACAUGCAAGUCGGGGGGAAACGACAUCGAAAGCUUGCUUUUGAUGGGCGUCGACCGGCGCACGGGUGAGUAACGCGUAUCCAACCUGCCCAUCACCUGGGAAUAACCUUGCGAAAGUAAGACUAAUACCCAAUGACAUCCCACGAAGACAUCUGAAUGGGAUUAAAGAUUUAUCGGUGAUGGAUGGGGAUGCGUCUGAUUAGCUUGUUGGCGGGGUAACGGCCCACCAAGGCAACGAUCAGUAGGGGUUCUGAGAGGAAGGUCCCCCACAUUGGAACUGAGACACGGUCCAAACUCCUACGGGAGGCAGCAGUGAGGAAUAUUGGUCAAUGGGCGAGAGCCUGAACCAGCCAAGUAGCGUGCAGGAUGACGGCCCUAUGGGUUGUAAACUGCUUUUAUAAGGGAAUAAAGUGGGUCUCGUGAGACUUUUUGCAUGUACCUUAUGAAUAAGGACCGGCUAAUUCC
rnacentral:rRNA from 1 species